GUUUGUGGAGGCUGUGGAAAAAUUUUGCUGGAAAUGAGGACAUUGGGCAGGCCAGUCUUUGGUUCCCUGGUAGGCACAUGCAGAAAGGACGUGAAAAUGAAAAUACUUGAGUGGCCUGAGAUUUGCCUAGGGAAUCAUCUUAGAAGCAAAGAAGGAAAAGAACAUCACGGAAAUUCCCGCAGGCAUAAUUCCAUGGACAGAACUAGACAACGUAUUCUCUAGCAGUUUUGAAACCAAGAUCAGCUCGUCCCAUGCUCAGGAAUGACCAAGGGCAGUUUGGAGGUUAAAGGCACGAUGGAGUUG